rnacentral:rRNA from 1 species
AUUGAACGCUGGCGUCAGGCCUAACACAUGCAAGUCGAGCGGGGUUUUCGGACCUAGCGGCGGACGGGUGAGUAAUGCGUAGGAAGCUACCCGAUAGAGGGGGAUACCAGUUGGAAACGACUGUUAAUACCGCAUAAUGUCUACGGACCAAAGUGUGGGACCUUCGGGCCACAUGCUAUCGGAUGCGCCUACGUGGGAUUAGCUAGUUGGUGAGGUAAUGGCUCACCAAGGCGACGAUCCCUAGAUGGUUUGAGAGGAUGAUCAGCCACACUGGGACGCAGACAAGGUCCAGCCUCCGACGGGAAGCAGCAGUGGGGAAUAUUGGACAAUGGGCGCAAGCCUGAUCCAGCCAUGCCGCGUGUGUGAAGAAGGCCUUCGGGUUGUAAAGCACUUUCAGUAGGGAGGAAGCGUUGUGUGUUAAUAGUACACAGCGUUGACGUUACCUACAGAAGAAGCACCGGCUAACUCUGUGCCAGCAGCCGCGGUAACAC